rnacentral:ncRNA from 1 species
CUACUGGCAUCGCAAGGUGCCGGGAUGGGCUGGCGGGAGUCAGCAGAGGCCAUAGUAGCGGCUCGGAACCGGAGCAGUGAAGGGC